rnacentral:rRNA from 1 species
GUGAGGGCGAGUUAUAUAACACCAUAGGACUGGCCGUCCCAUAUGAAAAGAUUAUAUUAGAAUUGAAUGAAGCUUUGUUUAUAUAUUGAUAAUGACAGUAUAUAUAUCGUGUCUUGACUAAUUGCGUGCCAGCAGUCGCGGUAAUACGUAAGAGACUAGUGUUAUUCAUCUUAAUUAGGUUUAAAGGGUACCCAGACGGUCAAUAUAGCUUAUAAAAUGUUAGUACUUGACUAGAGUUUUAUGUAAGAGGGCAGUACUUGAGGAGGAGAGAUGAAAUUUCGUGAUACCAAAGGGACUCUGUAAAGGCGAAGGCAGCCCUCUAUGUAAAAACUGACGUUGAAGGACGAAGGCACAGAGAACAAACAGGAUUAGAUACCCAAGUAGUCUUUGCAGUAAAUGAUGAAUGCCAUAGGUCAGAUAACCAGUUAAUGUUUAUAGUCUAAUAGGGUUAGCCUAGCAAACUAAUGACAUAGACUAUCCAUUAAAAAUAUUUGGUCUAUAAAUGAAAGUGUAAGCAUUUCACCUCAAGAGUAAUGUGGCAACGCAGGAACUGAAAUCACUAGACCGUUUCUG